CCCUUGUCUUCUCCUCCACCUCCUCCAUGCUCCCAGCCUUCUCUCUCCUCCUUGUCUUCUCCUCCACCGCCUCCACCGUCAAAGAAAAGUCGAAAAGAAUGCAGGAAACACAGGACCCAGAAGGUGUUCCUCUAUGAGAGCAUUGGGGAAAGAAGAGUUUUUAAUCAAAGACAAGAAGUGAAAAUUCGCUGGACACCAUGCUCCAAGUGUGGCAAGGACUGGGAGGACACAUGGGAGCCUGCCCAAAACUAUAGCAGCUCAACAUAAUAACACACACACACAGACACAGACACACAGACACAAACACACACACACACACACACAUACACACAACA